GCCAGACUCCUACGGGAGGCAGCAGUGGGGAAUAUUGGGCAAUGGGCGCAAGCCUGGCCCAGCAAUGCCGCGUGAAGGAAGAAGGCUUUCGGGUUGUAAACUUCUUUGACAGGGGAAGAGCAGAAGACGGUACCCUGAAAACAAGCCACGGCUAACUACGUGCCAGCAGCCGCGGUAAUACGUAGGUGGCAAGCGUUGUCCGGAUUUACUGGGUGUAAAGGGCGUGCAGCCGGGAAGACAAGUCAGAUGUGAAAUCCCGCGGCUCAACCGCGGAACUGCAUUUGAAACUGGUUUUCUUGAGUACCGGAGAGGUCAUCGGAAUUCCUUGUGUAGCGGUGAAAUGCGUAGAUAUAAGGAAGAACACCAGUGGCGAAGGCGGAUGACUGGACGGCAACUGACGGUGAGGCGCGAAAGCGUGGGGAGCAAACAGGAUUAGAUACCCGAGUA
rnacentral:rRNA from 1 species